GUAGGGAAUUUUGCGCAAUGGGGGAAACCCUGACGCAGCAACGCCGCGUGAAUGAUAAAGCCCUUCGGGGUGUAAAGUUCUGUCAAUGGGGACGAAACUUGACGGUACCCAUAGAGGAAGCACCGGCUAACUCCGUGCCAGCAGCCGCGGUAAUACGGAGGGUGCGAGCGUUGUCCGGAAUCAUUGGGCGUAAAGAGUUCGUAGGUGGUACGUUAAGUCAGAUGUUAAAGGCGCAGGCUCAACCUGUGUAAGGCAUUUGAUACUGGCGAACUAGAAUGCGGUAGAGGUAAAGGGAAUUCCUGGUGUAGCGGUGAAAUGCGUAGAUAUCAGGAGGAACAUCGGUGGCGUAAGCGCUUUACUGGGCCGUAAUUGACACUGAGGAACGAAAGCCGGGGUAGCAAAUGGG
rnacentral:rRNA from 1 species